UUAUAUAGGCUAUAUGAACUAAUUGAUAAGAAGGUUCUGGAAAUUUUAGCCAUUUUCUGCUUAGAGGUUGAGGAUAAAUAGGAAGUUCUGAAAUGGACAUGAAAAUAGCCCUUUCAAUGCAAACUGGUUAUUUUAUGUGGAUAAGUGUUUCAAUAAUAACAACAUACUUGGUGUAAUCCUGCAACUGGGAUCUAGGGAGGGUAGUGUGUAUGCAGACCUUACUCCUACCUUGGGAGGUAGAUAGGCUUUUCUAAUAGACCUCUACUCAAGUAAAAGUAUUACAAAGUAGUUUGAAAGAAGAAAACAAUGAGAGUGAAGAAGCCAAUACAAAAUACUAAAGAAAGCAUGACAACACAUAUUAAAAAGGAACAGUCACUACAACAAAAUAAUAUGAAAAUCGAGUGGAUACGAGUUUCUGCUGUUAACACUAAUAAUGGAAGGAGAAGAGCAAAACAGAUCCUUUCAUAUAUAAGAAGCUAGAUUGGCUAAUUUAUCCUGAACUAUCCUUUUAGUUUACCGAGUAUAUAAUGAGAUUGUAAAUAAUGAAAUAUUCAUCAAAUUUACACAUGGGGAUUGCCGUUUGUGUUUACUAUGAAAUAGAUGGCGGAGUAAAUUCAUAACUAAAUCUUUGUGUUGUUUUUAAAAGCCAAGUGUGACUUUCUUGGUAAAAGUUUUGCAUUGAGUGCGUGAAAGCUGGCCUGGACACCAUGGUCAUCAAAAAAAGAAGUUUUGCAUUGAGUACAAGUAUCCUUUGCUACAGUGAGUUUGGAAGAUUGUGUGUAUUUGGCCCCUUUGUGUUUUGCUAACUUAAUCUAAUACAAUUGUUUCUUGAUGGGUUGAUAUUGUGAAAUAUCAAAGCUAAGUGUCAUCUUAAUUGUUUUUGCUUUUGUAUUUCUCUUGAAUUUGCAAUGUGUUUUAACUGCUUGAGCAGUUGGUUUAAGGUGCUCAAAAAGUAGUCUUGUGUGUGCAGUGCCAUCAUAGUGGAGUGAGGUCUUCCUGGAAAAUAUUCAGGUGAAGUUGCAUGAAGAUAAGGGUUCACAAUAAGGCGGUUAUGCUUUUUUUGUUCAACAAACUGUCGGAAUUUGAUCCAAUUAAUUGGAAGAAUGGGUAGCUGCCUCUGUUUCUGCACUUUUAGAUUGAUGUACCUAUGGAAUCCAUACAUGUUUUAAUCAGUUCGAGAACUCCAAAUGUUAAUGUAAUCCUUUUAAGAACACAACUGAUGUCCCUUCUGCUGCCUAGUUGCUAAUGAUUAAUUCAGGCCAGGUCCAGAGUACUAGUUGAUGUUUACUUAAAUUUGUUCACUUGAAGUUCAAGAACUAUAUUUGUGAUGAGAAACUGUAAGCUGACAACUGAAACUGAAUCUGGAAACUCUGUUAAUCUGGUAAGUAUAUAUUUUUUUUUCCGCUGAUUGUGCCUUGUGUAAGACAUUCCUGGCACAAAUAAAUUUCUCAUACCGCUGUCCUAGCAGAUGAAGCUGCACUGUCAUUUGAAAGUGCUGUUUUGAUAAUAUGAUGGAUACAGCUAAACAAGUUGCGGUGAAGAUCAUCUCUAUUAAUGCAUUCUCGACAAUUACUUGUAGAAAAAUGCAUGGUUCUCUUAAGUAGCUUGGAAGAUAUAGCGAGACAAAUGGCUCUACACUCUAGGAAGUAGUGUCAGAGAAUCAUGUGAUGUCUGAAACAGUGCAACUAAAUAUUGUGAUGUUAAGAUCAUAUACAAUUUUUGAAAGCAACCAUUAUCAAAGUGGGAUUCUUUCUUCAAACUAUAUAUAGUUUGGGACAAUAGGGCAGGGCAGAGCCUUGAAGAAGGUGUGGGGCAAAACUCAUUUUAUCAAUACAAUUAGUGUGGAGGAAAUGACAUAUAUAUACAACUGAUAGUUAUAAUUAGCAAUAAAUAGCCCAAUAAUAAUUAGCAUUUAAUAGACAAAUAAAAAAUAAGCACAAAAUGGCCCAAAUUUAUAAAUGACAUUUUAAUAGUUUUUUUUUGUUUUCCUCGUAUAACCAAUAUCACUAAACAACAAAAACAACGGAAACAUAAAAAGUUGUAUAUACAAUACGUAACCUCCCAAAAACGUAAAUUAUGUAUUUUCAUAUAUUUUUUUGUUCGUUACUUGAUAAAAAAAAA
rnacentral:lncRNA from 1 species